rnacentral:rRNA from 1 species
UACGUAGGGUGCAAGCGUUGUCCGGAAUUAUUGGGCGUAAAGAGCUCGUAGGCGGUCUGUCGCGUCGGCUGUGAAAACCCGAGGCUCAACCUCGGGCCUGCAGUCGAUACGGGCAAACUAGAGUACUGCAGGGGAGACUGGAAUUCCUGGUGUAGCGGUGAAAUGCGCAGAUAUCAGGAGGAACACCGGUGGCGAAGGCGGGUCUCUGGGCAGUAACUGACGGCUGGAGGAGCGAAAGUGUGGGGAGCGAACAGG